rnacentral:tRNA from 1 species
GAUUUUGUAGCUCAAUGGUAGAGCGGUUGAUUGUUAAUCAAAAGGUUACAGGUUCAAGUCCUGUCAAAAUCG